rnacentral:rRNA from 1 species
GAUGAACGCUGGCGGCGUGCCUAAUACAUGCAAGUCGAGCGAACAGACGAGGAGCUUGCUCCUCUGACGUUAGCGGCGGACGGGUGAGUAACACGUGGAUAACCUACCUAUAAGACUGGGAUAACUUCGGGAAACCGGAGCUAAUACCGGAUAAUAUAUUGAACCGCAUGGUUCAAUAGUGAAAGACGGUUUUGCUGUCAUUUAUAGAUGGAUCCGCGUCGCAUUAGCUAGUUGGUAAGGUAACGGCUUACCAAGGCAACGAUGCGUAGCCGACCUGAGAGGGUGAUCGGCCACACUGGAACUGAGACACGGUCCAGACUCCUACGGGAGGCAGCAGUAGGGAAUCUUCCGCAAUGGGCGAAAGCCUGACGGAGCAACGCCGCGUGAGUGAUGAAGGUCUUCGGAUCGUAAAACUCUGUUAUUAGGGAAGAACAAAUGUGUAAGUAACUAUGCACGUCUUGACGGUACCUAAUCAGAAAGCCACGGCUAACUACGUG